rnacentral:lncRNA from 1 species
CCUAAUCAUGGUAAAUAAAUUUAUGGGUCAAAUUGACUUCUUUAUGAGCCUUCUGGGAUAUAAUAUCUCCUAUUAUGUUUAAUAGGAUCAAAUUUAAUUAAAAUUUCUUCAAUGAAUUUAUAAAUUUUUCAGGAUGGUGUGAUCUAAGAAACCUUGAAGUGUUGGAUGUGAGUGGGAAUGCACUUGAGGGGAUGCUUCCUCAUUGUUUCAGUAACUUGACAUCUCUUCGUGCGUUAGAUAUUUCAGGAAACCAUUUUCAAAUUCCGUUGUCUUUCGCACCAUUUGCAAACCUUUCAAACCUCAAAGUCCUUUCCGGUGAUGAAAACAAGAUGGUAAUGGAACCUUCCUUUUAUACCUCAGUCCCAAAGUUUCAAUUGACCAGCAUCAGUUUGUCAAAGUGCAUUACAUCUCAACAACUCAAUCUUGAACUUCCUACCUUCCUUUACUACCAAUAUGACUUGAGAUAUGUGGAUCUUUCUCAUAACAAUUUCAGCGGAACAGUCCCAACUUGGUUGUUAGAAAACAACACAAAGUUAGAAGUUCUCAUCUUGAUGGGUAAUUCCUUUACUGGUCCUCUCUCAUUUUCGUCAGCUCUUAUUUCUAAUGUAUCUUCAAUUGACAUAUCUGAAAACAAAUUACAAGGUCAAAUUCCGACUACUAUAUGUUCAACUUUUCCACAUUUGUGGCGGUUAUUCUUAUCCAAGCAUGCUUUUGAAGGUAAUAUCCCACUUUGUUUAAGUGUCAUGAAGUACUUAUCAUUUUUAGAUCUAUCAAACAAUCAAUUGUAUGGAAAAGUACCAGAAGAGUUGAUCGCGAAAGGCUCACUGACCAUUUUGAGACUAUCAAAUAACAAGCUCAGUGGAAAUGUAGUUCCUGUGGUUCUCAACUCAAAUGGGGUGCAGAAUUUAUAUUUGGAUGGAAACAAUUUUUCAGGAGAGAUGACAAAUGUUGAUUUGUCUACUUUUGAGUUUCCAAAUUCAAUAAGGGAAAUUGAUCUUAGUAACAACAAGUUGCAUGGAAAGCUCCCAAGAUGGAUAGGGAAUGCAUCGUUUUUGGAGAGAUUAGCUUUGUCCAACAGCGGUUUCGAGGGUUCUAUUCCAAUGGAAUUUUGCAAGUUGAAUAGGUUGGAAUUUUUGGAUCUUUCCCAAAAUCAUUUAUCUGGAUCUAUACCGUCAUGUUUUAAUCCACCAAACAUAGAGCAUGUCCACCUCCACGGGAAUAGACUGAGAGGUCCACUAUCACUUGCUUUUUAUAAUAGCUCCUCUCUAGUGACUUUAGAUCUUAGAGGAAACAAUUUGACAGGUAAUAUUCCAAAAUGGAUUGACACACUUUCUUCUUUGAGUGUUCUUCUCUUGAAAGAUAAUCAUUUUCACGGUAAAGUUCCAAUUCAGUUAUGCAAGUUGCAUUCUUUAAGCAUCAUAGAUCUUUCUCAAAAUAUGUUUUCUGGUCCUAUACCUUCUUGUUUGGGAAAUUUAUCUCUUCCAAUGCAAACGAAGAAGAUUCUAGACAUUGGGAUCUAUAGGCAAUCUACAGAAGAGGAUGAAUCAACACGCAUUAUGAUAGCAAAUCUGGGACCGGAUUCUUACUACCCUUACAGCUACUUUGAAGAAGUAAUAGAGUUCACAACAAAGAGUGGGUUCUAUUCGUACAAGGGCGACAUCCUUUCAUAUAUGACUGGGAUUGAUUUAUCUUGCAACAACUUAACUGGUCAUAUCCCACCAGAAUUAGGGAACUUGAGUGAAAUCCAUUCUUUAAACCUUUCACACAAUAAGUUGACCGGAGUUAUACCCUCGUCAUUCUCAAAACUUCAUCAAAUUGAGAGUUUGGACCUUUCUUACAACAACUUGAGUGGUGAAAUCCCCAAUCAAUUGGUAGAGUUGAACUCUUUGGAGGUUUUCAGCGUGGCAUUUAACAACUUGUCAGGUAGUAUUCCCGAACCAAAAGCUCAAUUUGGGACCUUUAUUGAAAAUAGUUAUGAGGGAAAUCCGUUUCUUUGUGGAGUUAUAUUGCAUAAAAGUUGUUCCAAAACCGAUUCACCAUCAACGAUAUCAACUGUAUCAGAAGAUAAAGGAGAAGAUGGUUUGAUAGAUACUUAUGAUUUUUGUGUGAGCUUUUUGGUUUCUUAUGUAGUUGUGUUGUUGACAAUUUUUGUUGUCCUCUACAUAAAUCCAUACUGGCGAAGAGCUUGGUUUUCUCUUGUUGGGAAAUGCAUUACCACCUGUCACUACUCAAAUGUGGGCAAUUCUUACUUAUCACAUUUUCAAGCGAUGUGUUUAGCUACUCAAAUUGCGAUUUGAUUUCCACACCUAAAUGUUUAAUUAUGCUAAGUUGAGCGAUAAUGAAUAUUUUGUUGAUUUUUGCAUUUUGAAUAAAAGCUCUUUUACCUUAUGGUUUUAUCAUUUUCAACCAACUAUUUCUUUUUUCUUCUAUGAAUUUAAUGUAAAAUCAUAAUCCAUUAUUAUGUAUAUGUAAUAUCUCUUUAAAUUAAAUUAAAUUAAAUUAACUGCCAAGCGUUCACUAGUGCAUACUAAAAAGGAAAUCUAAUGUAAAAUUAAAUAACAUACUAGAAAAUUGAAUCUAAAACUGGAAUAUUUUAAAACCUCACAAACAAUGCAAUUCUUUAUUCCUCUUUUCCUCUCAAGUUAUUUUGUAUCAUGUUAUAUUUUACAUAAUUAUUCGUAUCAUCAAAUUUUUUUAAAAAAAUUAAUAUUUUGAUAUCACGUUCAUAUUAUGCUUUAAUUCACAAUGUAUUUUAUAUAAUAUGUUUGUAAUACCCAAUUUUGUCCGGCCCAUUAAAACCCAAUUUGAAAUAAAACUAAGUGGGAGUCCAUAUUACAGCCCAAAUUCGGCCUAAUAAGGCCCAAAUUGCUAGCCCUAGCCUGUUAGCCCAAAAGAACACAGCCUAAGCAGAUUGAAGCAAAUCGGUGCCGCAGCAACUGCCCACGACAUGGCAACGGUUUCCACCCACGUUCAGCAAUUCCCCACACCCACCAUGCACGUUCUUCACCUGCAACAAACCAUAAACAGCAUUAUAGGAUCGAAUAUACAGCAAAAAAAAGGGGGGAAAUUUUAGUUGGUGCUUUCCGGUAAAUAUUGGCUAUAAAAGUCAAUCGAUUUUUGUAAGAAGGGGGGUUACACACAUAUAUUGAAAAAUACUGAAAUACGAAAGAAAAGAAUUAGAAAAAAAACAAAUUUUGGAAGGUGAUUUUUGCUCUUUCCACGUCUUUUUACUUUUUUCUGUUUUUUUGUCUCAUCUUUUUCUUUUGUAUUUUACUUCAUUUUUUUUAAAAUAAAACGAAAAGUAAAAGAAAGGGAGGAGAUUCUUACCAGCAGAGGCGCGCCGUCAGCAUAGUUUUCUUCGCUUUGUCCAAAUCGAAGUUAAAAGGGGAGGGGGUUUUGGCGUGAAGAGUUGGGAAGAAGAUGAAACAGUUUUUAAAGCUAUUGCUGCUGCAGAAUAGCGUUUAAAUUUGAGAUUGUUGUUUGUUUACGCUUUUAAUCCUUCCAUUUUAUCCCACCAUUUCAAAAUUAUUGUUGUUUGUUUUCAAAUUUUUCCAUGAAACAUUAUUAAUGUUUUGAUUUAAUACAAUGUUGUGCAAUGCUUUGGGUGGUUUGGGUAAAUUAUUUUUUUAGUCCUCUUUCUGUUACACGUGUUUUAAUUUACUCCCUUCCUUGUUUUUAUUUUCAAAUUUAGCUCUCAACUUCUGUUUGGAAUUUUAAUUUAGUCCUUAAUUUGUUUUUUUAGUUUAUUUUUAUUAUAUUGUUUAUUAUUAUAAUUAUUAUAUUAUUAUUAUUGUAUUUAUAUGUGUGCGCCUAUAUAUAUAUAUUAAUAUACAUAUAUAUUAUAAAUGUUUUAACUAUAUAGGUAGUACGUAUAUAUAUUUUAUUUUUAUAGUUCGUACAUAUUUUAUAUACAUUCAUUUUUUUAUAUAAUAAUAUUUAUGUUUUCAUGUUUUAUAAUUCAUAUGUAUAUACAUUUUAUAAUAUGUACAUAUAUUUUUGCAUUCUUUUCAAGGCUUUUAUAAACAUUUUCCAUGUUUUUAUAUUUACUAAUACAUUUAAAAAAAACAUGUAUUAAUAUAUUUUAUGUGUAUUUUAUUUUAUUAUUAUUUUUAUGACUUACGCAUUUUAUUUUUUUUCCCUUUCCCCUCAUAUUCCUGUACGUAUUUGCUAAAAUUGUUUAUAUAUUAUACUUAUAAAUAUGCAUAAUUUAAAUUUAAAUAUUUGCUUCAUAUUGCAUUAACAUUUUUAACAUAUUUUUAAUAAAUAUUUUGAUUUUUGUAAAAAAUAGUAAAAUUGGUUUUAUGAUCCAAAGGCUUUUAAAAUAAAAACGAUAUUCAAAGUUAGGGAUUUUCGAGGAAAAUUGAGCCCUAACGUAUUGGGUUUCGAUUUUCUUUGUUAAUUCCAAAUAACCGAGAAUAUUCGUUAUUUAAAAUGUAUAAGUAAAAUCAUUUUGGGAACUUAAUUUGCUAUGUCCUAACGUAUUAGGCAUGACAUAAUUGCUUUCUCGAAAUGAAGAUUUUCUUUAAAAGUUAAAAAGCGAUAUCCAAAGUUCGGGGAUUUUGAGAAAUUGUACCCUAAGGUAUUGGGUCUCGAUUUCUUUAUCUAACUUGAACAAUUGAUUAUCCUUUUUCAGAUUUCAUCAUUUGAGUUUUUUAAAAAAAAAAUUUAACCCUCGACACUAAGACAUUAAAUAAUCAAUUUGGUACUGAUUUUUGGGCGUUACGAGGGUGCUAACCCUUCCUCGUACGUAACUAACUCCCGAACUCGUUUUCUCAAAUUUCGUAGACCAGAAUGAUUUUUAAGGUGGGCCGAUCACACCUCAAUCUAGGAUCGGUGGCGACUCCAAUUUUGUUUUUAAAGUCGACAACCCAAAUUUUUGUUUUCAAAAAAUGGUUUCGACAAUGUUAUAACAAUUCAAUUUAAAAAAUAAGCAAUUAUCUUAUUUUUGCAUACCGUAAUAUACAUUUACAUGAUAAUAAUUCAUUGUACAUAAAUUUUGACAUGUUCGUAUAUUUGAGUCAUUAUAAUUUUAUUAUUUGUAAUAUGACAUGUUUUACUUACCCUUAAUAUUGUGUCAUGAUAAUUAUAACUCGAUUGGCAGUGUACCAAAUAUUUUUCUAAUAAAAAAUAGUAUUUUAUUCUAUUUACCAAAUCUUUAUCAACUUUAUAUUCUCACCAACAAAACAUACAUUCAAAGUUCAAAUAAGUUCCACACCCAUUUAUGCUCAUCAUCAGAAAGCUGAAAUAUUCCACUCUAAUUAACAUUAUGAUUCUGUAAACAACAAAAAAGUGUGAUCUUUUUUUAAAGCUCUUUUUUUUCUUUAAUGAAAUGGGAUUGGUAAAAAAUCCGCACAUGUGUCGUGUGUGAAGAAGGUCAGGUUGUCUAUUCAUACUGUAAUAAGUAGCUAAUUAUAGUUGAUCCUACAAAAUCAAAAUUAAUUCAGGUAUCUAUAUAUUCUGAAGACUGGACAGACCUUAGAAGCUCCUUCAAAUUUGCAAGAACAUGUCGUGGUCCUAAACUCUUUACACCGAUGAAAUUCAAAAGUUGCUCUAUAUCCUGCAAUCACAGUAAAGAUUAUGCAAGCGUUUCAGAACGAAUAACAUAACAAGCAAAAGGCAAUCAAAAUACUGUGAUCUCGAUAAUGUUCUUUGCCGAAAAGGAACAUAAACAUAACCUGAAAACAUCAGUGAAGGCUCAUCAGAUUUGCUUAGCAACCUUACAUACACAUGUAAAAAGCUUUGCUUUUGGAUGUAAGGUGUGACUAUCAUCACAGUCUUUCCUAAUUAGCUGAUAACCCUAUAUCUAACAUUAAUCAUGGCUAAGCAAAUUAACAUACAUAAUGUAAAGGAAUUUGACUAUAAGAUCCAACAGAAAACUUAAUAAAAGAUAAUCAACAUAGAAAGUUAAAAGGCAAUGCAAACUUAUUACAAUGAUGCAAGUGGAUCAAAAGAAAGCACUCUAUAAGGAAUUUGCAUUUAAGGCAUUGUAAACAGAAAAAAAAAAAAAAACUUUUUGGAAAGUAUUUUCAAAGAGGAGACAAACAGGGUAGAAAAAAUGUUUGGUCCUUCCUUUUUCUAUUUCUACUGUGGUGAAAAAGCCUUUUUGGGUUAAAAGUGUUUUUACACUGCAGAAGUGUUUUUCCACUGCAGAAGUGACGAAGAACACAUAGCUUUUGCAGUCAAAAACCUACUGCUUUUCGCUUUUGCAUUUCGAAGUGAAAAUUAUAAAAAUACUCUUAGAUUAAUUUAUAUUUUAUAUAUUAUUAUAUUAAUUGUUUAAAUCUUAUUUAUUAUUAUAUUUAAUUUUUUUCAAAAUAUUUUAUAUAUCAUCAAUUUUACAAAUAAUUUAUAUUAAUUACUUAAAAGGUAUUUAAAAGUUAUAUUUCAUGUAUCAUUAUAUUAAAUUAUUUAAAUAUCAUAUAACUUGACUAAUUUUUUUCUUUCUACCAUCAUGUCUAAAAAAGACAUUUUAACUUUCAACUGCAAUUUUUGGCAGUAAUGAACAACACUAAAAACUAACAAACAUACUUUUCCGCACCACAUUUCAACAACACUUUUUUCUAAACGCACUUUUGAACUAGUCCUUAGUCUAUCAUGCAUCAACUCUUCAUUUUUCUUUAACUACCCAUGUCCGACUUCGAACAUGGAUAUGGAGAUAUGACCAAGUCACAGUGACAUAGUUUUUAGUUAUGGGGAAUGGGAUUCGAGUGCUGGACCUCCUUUUAGAUGCAUGGUGGGACUUCAUCACAUUUUUCAAAUUUGUUGAUAAUCCUUCACCUAAUCUGCCGGUGAAGUUUAUAGAUAGUCUUAAGUGUCUAUCACAAGAACCUAGAUAUUGUAAAUCCAAUAUCUUCCAAACAAUUCAACCAUGAUAUUAAUGAUGAUGGAAGCAAGAUUAUCCACUAUCAAUGACAUAAAAUGAGCUGUAAAUGCUGACGAACAAACAUGCACUGUUUUUCCAACCUGUGGAUUGAAGAGCAUUGACAAGCUAACUUUGCAGACCAUUUGAAUCCAAUACUAUACAUAAAAAUGCCAAAGGAGAAUAAUUCAUCUUGGAAAAAGAAUUACUAAUAUGCAAAAGCUUACCUUGUUUAACAAGAAAACAGCAUAUGCUGCUCUUGUCGUGUCUUGACCUUCUAAAAACAGCGGAAAUUCUGCCAGCUUUACAUUUGCUGAAAGUGUUGUAUCCAAUGACAAAUCAGAAGAUGCAGGGUCUAUUGAAGACGCAUGGUCAUUAAUAUAUGAGCGAGAACCACCCAAGCGCAGAGGAUAACGCAAGGGAACUUGUAAAUAGGAUGCAAUUAGUGAAACAGCCUGCAAAUGAUGAAAUAACAGGAAACAAGAAACAAUAAUAGGUAUGAUUAAAAUUAUAGCCUCAGCAUGAGAAACAAACAAUCAAGAUGCAACCCACUAUACCAUAUUACCAUCCUAGCAAUUAAAAAUUACUACAGCAUCUUCAAGCAACAAGGGAUUGUAGGUGGUAGGUCAAAAAACUUGAUAUCCACAGCUUGAUAUUAUCAGAAAAAACAAAUUCAGUAAUAAAUGAUAACUUCACAGAAGAAAUAGAACGCACAUGUGCAACAUAUCCCAAGGCAGUUGCAGAUCUCUGAACCUCCUUUUUGUCAGUGAAAAAACUCAUCUUUGUAAAAGGAAGCAAGGUGAGAUUCAGACCUAAAAUUGUCAACGAUCCUUGAUUGACGGGCUUUGAUGCAGAAGGAUUCCCUAUUGAAGACAGGAACAAAGGAACUUCAUAUCAGUACAUCACCAGACACCACCUCUUUGUGAAAGUCAAAAGAAAAUUCAAAAAAAUAUCAUCAUGAAAGUAAGAGAUAUGUAAAAAGCUCAUAAUAUUCAAGAACAAAAAAAAAUUGUUUUGAUAUGAGGAGAAUUGAAUAGUAGAUUGCUAAAAGAGGAAUAACUGAAUACAACCAUUAUAACCAAAAGAAGAGUCAAGUGAUAGGUAAUGGUACUCCCUAAGCUGUUUAGGAAUCAUAAAAGACUUGUCCAGUCGACAAAAAUAACUCAUUUUAUUCUCCCCUAGUAAAACAUCAUAUUGGACCAACCAUAUUUGAUAUCAAAGGAUAUGCAUAUCCAGGCAUGCCAUUUAUAGAUAUUCCCAGUGUUACAAGAAGGAAUUGUUCAAGAGAAAGAAGCUGCUAUUGUUGGUAAAGUUUUCCUCAAACCAUUUUGAACAUCCAAAAUCUCAAGAACAAAAAAGAAAACGUAGGAGGAAAUAUAACAAGCAUCACAACGGGUUCUCGAUGAUAUAAGUGAGAGGAUAAAUGUUAAUUAAGAAUAUAAAAAUAAACCACAAACUAAACAGGAAAGACAUGGAUUUCAAAACGAGGAGACUGGCUGCUAAUUAAAACCAUAUGCGGCGUUGUCUAGGGCGCAAGGCACAUUCUAGGUGCUAACCUUUAUAUUGCCUCAAGCACAAGGCACAAAAGGAAGCGCUAGCCUGAGUGCAGUAAAGCGCAAUACGUAUAUGUGAGAGUUUUUGCAAGUCUGUGUGUCUAUAACAUAAAAGUUUUAAGAUAUAUGGUAAACUCUAAAGUGUGGUCUGGUUUAUCCACAAAACUUGCAAAAUUUUUAUAGGUGAAUACUUAAAUAUUGAGAAUUAUAGAGUUUGAUAUUAUCCCUUUCUUAUUAGUAAAGGUGUAUCAAAUGAAAACAGUAGAAAAUAAAAUAAAAUAUUGAGAAAUUCAACAAGGCAGGCUUUUUCUAAUGCCCAUUGCCUUACAAAAAAAGUGUGCCUAGGUGCACCAGGCAUACGCUUGAUCAAAUGGACCUCACCUGGAAGGGUCCAAGGCGUUUUGUUGUAUAAAACUAAGGCGUAGGCACGCCUAGGCGCAUGCCUUGACGACACUGACCAUAUGUUGGCUUUAUUGCAAAGCAUUAGCAAUCCAAAACUACUAGCACAUUACCUAAUCUACUACUGCUAGAAUAGGACUCAAGUUCUUGCUCCUGUGCAGGUCCAACCAAGAUCUUUACAGGAUACAAUAAUGAAACUUGUGAUAUCAUAUAUUGUUGCCUUGCUCGAAGCUUCCUUUGCACAUUUUUAAGUUUAACACAACCCCUUUCUUCAGUGAGUAAUCUAUUUGCUUCCUGUGAUAAAAACAACAUAUAAUCAAUCAUGCCACGCAUGCAAGACUACCAACCAACUAUCUAAUAAAAGAGACAAAGAAGUAGGAGAGCAAGAAGGGGAUAACCCUUGACUAUGCAAAGGAAUUCAUAGAAUGAGAAUCAUCUCAUCUAAGCCCCUCAACCACCUUCACAGGGGGUGGAGGUGCAAAGAGAGAGGUCUUAUUGAUCCGAGAGGAGAAUAUAUAACAUCUAAAGCUGAAUAAGAAGAAACCUUCAAAUAUAUCAUAAAUUCAGAAUUCAUGAUAAUAUAAAAAUGAAAUUCCAAAGCUAAUUUAAGCUAGAAUAAAAAUGCUUCACCUGUAAUCGCUUCCUUGCUACAGAAAGAGAGGUACCAGCAACCAACAAUGAUCUUACUUCAGUACUCAGCAUUUCCUCCUGUUUUUUAGCAUCCUCUGUUGCAACUUUGCAACGAGUUGACAUGUUUGCCAUAACUACUUUCCUUGCCUCUAGUCUCUCACGCAUUUCCUCAAGCUCGUUCAGUUUAUUCAAAGACUCAUUUUUUACCUGCACAGCAUGUUCCCACCCAUUAAUCAGUGGGCCAAUUAAUUAGGUCACAGAAGACAAAACUAAAUUAUCACUCACCAGGUCCCCUUGAAGUGUCAUAUGGCUUUAACAAUUCAACGUGCAAUAUCUAGUAAAAGUGAAAUAAACAUAGAAGAAUGCAAAUGCAAUUCUUAAACGCCUUUAAAUGGACAACAUGAAACAGUUUAAGAGACCUAUAAAACAGAAAAGUGGAAAAAAAAUCUGAAAAGGAAAAAAAAUGAAUUGAAACAAUAAAUCCAUCCCUUGAAGUGUCAUAUGGCUUUAACAAUUCAACGUGCAAUAUCUAGUAAAAGUGAAAUAAACAUAGAAGAAUGCAAAUGCAAUUCUUAAACGCCUUUAAAUGGACAACAUGAAACAGUUUAAGAGCCCUAUAAAACAGAAAAGUGGAAAAAAAAUCUGAAAAGGAAAAAAAAUGAAUUGAAACAAUAAAUCCAUCCCUUGAAGUGUCAUAUGGCUUUAACAAUUCAACGUGCAAUAUCUAGUAAAAGUAAAAUAAACAUAGAAGAAUGCAAAUGCAAUUCUUAAACGCCUUUAAAUGGACAACAUGAAACACUUUAAGAGCCCUAUAAAACAGAAAAGUGGAAAAAAAUGAAUUGAAACAAUAAAUCCAUCUGGUACAAACAGCAACAAAUCUCGAAAUAAGCCUUGCCUUGGCUUUAGCCCAUUAAAGCCCGGGCAUCCGGCCAAAUAAACAGUGACUGCCAUGUCAACUUUUUGAGACGGUAGAAAAGAGCUCAAAAAUCUCAAUUUCCAAAAUUAAGGACAUAAGAAGGAAAAAAUGUACUUAUUCUUACAGUAGAAGAGCAAAAUGAAACUAAAUGAAGGAUAAGGGAACUGAUGCGAAUUGACAUUGUUAUUUUUGGGACUAAAAAGAAUACGCAGAUUGAAUAUUUAAGAUUUUGUAAGGGAAAAGUUCCAUUCACCAACACAAUUAUCAUCGCCCUUUAUCCCAGUAAAGCUUAAUUGACAAUUUUUCUGUCUCGUGUUCUUGCUAAAGCAUUUGAGCAACCCAACAGAAAUCAUUAUAUGUCAAACUGAAAUGAUUGGCUUUAUCAAUUUCACAACCUAUACUGCCCAACCUAGUAAGUAAUUUAGGUGCAGACACCAGAAAUCUAUUUUCUUUGCACUCUACAACCAAAUAGCCUACCACUUAUCAAUCAAACACAGCUGAAAACUUCAGUGAGGAAACAUUAUGUAAACUGAAAAAACUAUAACUUCAACUUGAUUCAUAGCUCGGUAAGUUCAGGGAACUGGGACUUCUACCACCAUGAUCCAGUUCGAUGUGAAACAGUGAUCCAUAUCACGCAUAUCGGUUCCCGCAACAAGAGGUAAAACAGCAAAUUAGGUAAACAAUGAUCCAACUAUAUUUCAGAAUAGCAACAUUGAGCAUGAAAGCUAAAAUUAUAGCAUAUUAUGGGUCCUUGCUCCCUACAACUACAUAUAAAAUUACUAAACAAUAUUACUACAUUAAGGAUCCAGAAAAACUUGGUUUCAAUUGUUGAUCACUUGAUCCAACUAUUUUAGAAAGUUUAUUCUUCUUUUUCCUUUCCCUUAUUUUCUAAAUCAGGAAAAACAGUAGCAUAUAAACUGGAUUACUACUCCAAUUAAGUUUCUAAAAUUUCAGCAAUAUCCCUUUAACCUUUUCACUCAAGUCACUACCCCCCCCCCCAAUUAACAAAUAUAUUCCCAGUUUCCCUUUCACUUCAAACCCCCCCCCCUUUUUUUUUUCUCUACCCAAAUUCAGCUUACGUUCAAAAACCCAAAAUUGGUUUGCUAAAAAAACAUAAUUUUCAAACCCAAAGGUAACCUAAUUUUAAUCAGAAAAAAAAAAGAAGCAUUACCUGAAUUAGUGAAUGGAGUUUCUCUUGAAGACUUUAUUUUAAAAUUAUCUUAUACUAUUUGCUUUAAAUCGAUUUUUAUUAGUUAUUUGAAACUCGUUUUCAUGUACUAUUUAUUUUUUUAUCACUUAUUUAAAUUGUUUUACAUAUCUAUUUUUUAAACCCUAUUUUAUUAUAUUUUACUUAUUUUAACUUUUUUACAUAUUUCAUUAUAAAUAUUAUUAAUUAUCUAUAUUGAGUUUUUCAUUUAUGUAUUACUUAUUUAGAUAAAUAUAUACUAUUUUGUGUAUUACUUAUUUUGAUUUUCUUCUUAUACAAUAUUACUUUAAAAUUCAUUUAGAUAUUAUUAUUUCACAUAGUAUUUAUUUUUAUCUUCAUUUUUGAUCUAUUUCAAACUCAUAUAUAUUGUUUAUUUUGAAAUUUUAUGCACAUGAUUAUUGUUUAUAUUGAUGAUUUUAAAUUUCCUUUCUUGUAUUUUUAUUUAUUUAUUUUAAAACUUGUUAUACUUUAUUUGUGUUAAUUUGCUUAGUUUUUCUUUCAAAAUUAACUUAUAAUUCAUUAGCUUUUAAUGUUAGUAUUUGCAUAAUAUGUGAUAUAAGAUUAUUGCUCUCAUGUAUUGCUUAUCUGUAUAUAUUGAUUAUUUGUCAUUCAUUAGUAUAUAUUUUGUUUUACGAAUUAUCACUUCUCGCGUUGUACAUUAUCAUUUCCAUCGCGUUUUAUUUGCUCAAAAAUUAUGUUUAAUAUGGCUUAAGUUUUGAAAUCAUUUUAUCCAAAAGCUUCCAAUAUAGCAUAACACUCGGUGUUUGGGAUUUUUGAAAAGAUCGUACUCUAACUUACGAGGUCUCGAUUUUUUGAUAAUUUCAAAUAUACGAACCUUUUAAAAAAAAAACAAGACACAUUUACUUAAAAAUUAUCUCAAGAAUCAAAAAAAGAUCGUGUCCCAACUUACCGGAUAUGAUUUAUUAUCUGAAACCGAUAUGAUCAAGAUUUUUAAAAAUAAAUAAAUUUUGGUGUUUAUUCUCGUUUCGGGAUUUAAGAUAUUGUGUCCUAACUCACGGGAUAUAAUUUUUUUCUCGAUUAACGAGAAAUACACCCUUCUUUAAAUUUUAACAAAAUGGUCAUUUUUUUAAAUUUCUUUUCGAAAUUUUAAUUUUUCGACAUUAAGACAUUAAUUAAUCGAUUAGGUACUAAUUUUGGGCAUGACGGGGUGCUAAUCCUUCCUCGCAUGUAACUGACUCUCGAACCCGUUUUUCUUAAAUUCCAUUGACCAAAAUCAUUGUUUUAAUAAAAUCAAAAUGUUUUAUCAAAACGAUUGAAUUGCAAGGUGAUCCAAUCACACAUAAAAAAAAUGUCGGUAGCGACUCCCUUUUUUUCAUUUUCAAAAUAAAAGUCAACACUAUUUUUGUUUUCAAAAAGUGGUUUCGACAAAAUUGUUUAAAUCUUACUUAUUAUUAUAUUUAAUUGUUUUUCAAAAUAUUUUAUAUAUCAUCAAUUUUACAAAUAAUUUAUAUUAAUUACUUAAAAGGUAUUUAAAAGUUAUAUUUCAUGUAUCAUUAUAUUAAAUUAUUUAAAUAUCAUAUAACUUGACUAAUUUUUUAAUUUCUACUAUCAUGUUUAAAAAGAACAUUUUAACUUUCAACUGCGAUUUUUAGUAGCAAUGAACAACACUAAAAACUAACAAACACACUUUUCAGCACCCCUUUUCAACAACACUUUUUUCUUAAAGUACUUUUGAACUAGUCCUUAGUCUAUCAUGCAUCGACUCUUCAUUUUUCUUUAACUACCCAUGUCCGACUUCAAACAUGGAUAUGGAGAUAUGACCAAGUCAGAGUGACAUAGUUUUUAGUUAUGGGGAAAAGGAUUCGAGUGUUGGACCUCCUUUUAGAUGCAUAGUGGGACUUUCAUCACAUUUUUCAAAUUUGUUGAUAAUCCUUCAUCUAAUCUGCCGGUGAAGUUUAUAGAUGGUCCUAAGUGUCUAUCACAAGAACCUAGAUAUUGUAAAUCCAAUAUCUUCCAAACAAUUCAACCAUGAUAUUAUUAAUAAUGAUGAAAGCAAGAUUAUCCACUAUCAAUGACAUAAAAUGAGCUGUAAAUGCUGACGAACAAACAUGCACUGUUUUUCCAACCUGUGGAUUGAAGAGCAUUGACAAGCUAACUUUGCAGACCAUUUGAAUCCAAUAAUAUACAUAAAAAUGCCAAAGGAGAAUAAUUCAUCUUGGAAAAAGAAUUACUAAUAUGCAAAAGCUUACCUUGUUUAACAAGAACACAGCAUAUACUGCUCUUGUCGUGUCUUGACCUUCUAAAAACAGCGGAAAUUCUGCCGGCUUUACAUUUGCUGAAACUGUUGUAUCCAAUGACAAAUCAGAAGAUGCAGGGUCUAUUGAAGCUGCAUGGUCAUUAAUAUAUGAGCGAGAACCACCCAAGCGCAGAAGAUAGCGCAAGGGAACUUGUAAAUAGGAUGCAAUUAGUGAAACAGCCUGCAAAUGAUGAAAUAGCAGGACAUUAGAAACAAUAAUAGGUAUGAUAAAAUUAUAGCCUAAGCAUGAGAAACAAACAAUCAAGAUGCAGCCCACUAUACCAUAUUACCAUCCUAGCAAUACCUGCAAAACUUUCAUCAAAACGGUAAUAACACUUUUGGACAAUGUGUCCUAUUUUACCACACAACUGGCAUUGGGGCCGAUUGUUUGAAAAACCACCCUCACGGCCUCAUCCUCGAUGGAAACCUCUAUUGCAUUGAAAACCACCUCUAUGUGCCUGUUUGUUCCCUUGAUAGCCACUGUUAUAAUCAUAACCCUUGGUCCGAUCACCCUCAUCACAAUCUUGUUUACUAGCUAUGUUAGCUUGUUCGAGAACACUAUUCAAGAACUCAAGUUCUCGAGCUUCACAAUCAAGCAGCAUCUCAAUCAACAGACCAAGCGACACACCAGUAGCUGAAGCUACUACCCGUACUGAUUCACACUCAACUGGCAACCUUGCAAGAAUGAUGCUAACCAUUUCUUGAUUUGAAAUCAAACAACUCGUUGCAACCAACAUAUCACACAUGGACUUGAUCUUAGACAAAUAUUCUUUAACAAACAGAUGACCCUUUUUCUGUGAAUACAACACAUGAUGCAUACUGGACAAUUUUACCGUCGACUUAGUCGCAAGCCUUUUUUUCAAUAGUUUCCCAAAUAUAAUAACUAGUACGAGCACUAGUAAGAUAGGCUAGAAUUUCAUCACUAUCAGUUGAAAGUAACCAAGAAGCCAAUAGCUUAUCUUGUUGCACAUGUAAAACAUAAUCAGAAUCUUCUACUAAUCUCCCAUAUUUAUCCACUACAAACUGUGCUAGUACACUAAUAGCACCCAAAACAAACUCAUGCAGACCGUAUCAUUCAAGGAUCAACAUAAUUUGGAGCUUCCAUAAAACAAAAUUAUACUCACCAAGCUUUAUUGUAUCGUGCUUAGGAAAUUGUUGAAGACAUCUACAACUGUUGAGGUGGGUUUUCUUUAAACAUACUCAUUCCAACAAAAAAAAAAUCUACGUUAGUAUGAUUAAUUAGAAAGUGAUUAAUUCAUUAUUUAGUUAGAAGUGAUGGCCUUAAGAAAAAAAAUGACAUUAUUUUAUUUGGCAUUGUUAAAAGUGUUAGUUACUGAAAUAAUUAAUGAGAUUAUAAAAGUGAAAGAAUCAAAUUAUGUCAAGAGUAAAGUAGAGGGUUUUAAUCCUAAAUUUGGGUAUAAUAAAGGGACUAACACCAAAUAAUUAUAAAAUUUUCAAAUAUUUUGAAAUUAAUUUUAAAUAUUAAUUAAAUACAAAUUAUAAAAAAAUAAAAUAAAAAUCCCCAGCGCAGUGAGGGACAUAUUCGAUAUCAAUAAUUAUAAAAUCUGUAGUUGUAAUAUUUAAUUGAUAUAAUAUAUAAAAUUUGAGGGUUAAAUUUGUUAUUAUACAAUUUUUUUAACUGCCGUGUCACUUUGCAAUUUUUUAUUUUAAGGAGUCAUCAAAAUAACUAAACUAUGUAAUGUGAGUGCUUAAAUUACAAAAUUUUUACUUUAAUGUGAGUGCUUAAAUUACAAAAUUUUUACUUUAAGUGUUUAAAUUUUUUAAAAAAAUUAUAAUUAAAUAACAAUCUAUAUGUAGUUUGCCCAAAAAUUUUAUAACCCAAACUACACAAUUUUAUGGCCAUCUCCCACUUUUGAUAUCUCUUUGGCCAUUAGUUAAGAUGGGAGGGGAAUGACUUAUUCAAGAUUAGUGUCAACAUUAGAUUUAAAACCUACGGAAGUCAUGUUUCAAUUUUUUUAUAUAAUAAUAUAACAUUUAAAAUUAUAUUAUAUCUAUAAAAGAACUCAUUGGAUUAGGGUUUUUUUUUUAAUUAACUUUCCAUUUGUUAUUAGAAAACAAAACUAAAAAUGCAUCAAACAGGGCUCUGAUAAAAAAUUAAAAAAAAACCAAAAUGUUUAGGUUUGGUAUCGUUUUACUUUUACUUUAAAAUCAGUCUAAUCUGUAUCAUGCUCACACCAAACAUAUGAAGAAAAAAAAAAGUGAAAUAGUAAGGAUAUUAUUAAUUUCAUUCCAAGACAAAUUUUAGCAUACCCAAUUAGGUCCUUGGGUUAAUCUUAUGUUUUUUGUUUAGGCAUUCAGCAUUCUUGGCGUUUAGUUUAGUUAGAAUUUUAAAUUAUGAUAGAUCUGAAACUUUGGUAUUUUUGUGCAAAACUCAACCUUAAAGCUUUAUUUGUUGUCUAAAUUAUUUUAUUGAAGCCUAGGAAUUGUUGUUAUUGUUUCGGCUAAUUGACCUUAAAGCAUCAAAUGCCUUUUUUUGGAUGGUCAUAUUCCUUCCAAGGGCUGAAUUACUAAAAGCCCAUGAAGUAUCCUUCUUUUUCUUAAGUGAGCCUCUGUUUCAAUGCCGCCAAAAUUUUCUUUAUCCACAUGGAAGCUGACCUGCCAUGAUGAUGUGGUAAAAAAAUGAACAAUUUGUAUUUUUUGAAAAAUAUAACACUUAAGAACUUUCUUUCUUCUUGCCUCCCAAUUCUCACCACCAAUUCCUUAGCCCAAAUCAGUUUUGGCCUCCGACAUUGAUCAUAACAAAAGUAAACUUUCUAUUAGAAAUAAUUUCUUUUAUGUACAAAUUAAAGGGUAAGAUAUUGUUUGGGUACAAAAAAAGCAUAUGAGCUUACUUUAGAAAAGUGACAACGUUGGGCUCUUUUAGUAUUCUAUCCUCCCACCAACUUUGUCCAAUGUUUUUUGCCUUAUCACCAGACAGUAAAAGGGCCUUUGACCUUUUCAGGCUAAGCGCUGCCUGGUGCAUGUAGGGGGAAAAGGCCUUCUAAUUGAAGUUCUCUUUACUAUCUCUUUAAUUGUUUCUUAAUUGUAACAAAGGGAUAAUAUCGAACUCUCUAUUUCUCAAUAUUUGAGUAUUCAACACCAGGCAUGGGAUCAUAUGGAAAUAUGCAUAUGGUUGACAAAAGAAAGAAAAUUUGGAAAUGUUUAUUUAAGUAGUAACUGCUGGUUUUCUUGGAUGCUUUCUUGUUAAUGACUACUGUUUGGGCAUGUUUAUUUAAGAAUUGCCCCCAAGUAGUUUCUUGAAUCAUCUAAAAUUGGAAAAAUUAGUCUUAUGGUAACUCAUUAAAGUAUUUGAAAGUAUGCACAAGCUAAUAACAUUUUAGAAAUUAAAAUUGAAGAUCGGUUUUUAGGGUAUCAUGUCCAUAUUAAGCAUCAUCUUUCCAGAUUACUGUUCUCUCUCUCUCUCCCUCUCUGUGUGAUAUAUUUCUCAAGUGAAAGGUAACCUUCUUCACUUGAUUUUGACUUAAUUUUGCAGUCACCACGAUUGUAUAAUGUGUACAAGCAAAUGGGAAUUGUAAAAUCUUUUCAGAAUAUUCUGGACAAUGUUUUCAUUCCACUAUUUGAAGUUACAGUUGAUCCGAAUUCUCAUCCUCAACUACACGUGUUCCUAAAAAUGGUGAGUUCUAUGUUCAUCGGAGAACAUACUGUGCUAUAAUAAGAGAGUUCGGAAAAUAUAGUUAAAAAAUGCUUCUUUAUUGGAAUGACCUGCAUUAUAGCAAGCUGAAUAAAUGAUGCCUUAACUUUAUUCAUUGUGUUCUCAUAAUUCUUUAAAACCAUUCGAAAAUUCUAUUGAGCCACAUUAUAUGGUUAAUUUUUGGGUCUGUACUGCAUACUGAACAUGUGUACAUCCUUGCGAUUUUAGAUGGAUGGAGUUGGACAGCAAAGCAAUUGAAAAAAACCCAAUUUAUGGUUUCUAAAUGUUAGAUCAUUUAUGGUUUCUAGUUUCAAUUUAAAAAAAAAAAAAUCCAAAUCAGCCAACUAAUGAAAUUUUCAACGAUGUUAGUUAUUUUAACUAAUCCAUAACAUGUUUGCUUCUUCUUCUUUUUUUUAGCCUAGCAGCAAUGUUAGCCUCUGGACUAGUUACCGCCCUCCUUUUUCCCCUCCCUAUUAACCCUUUUUAUUUUUCUUCUCAUCCACUCCAUGAGUCUUCGUUCUUUUCAGUUUACAGAUUUAUUUUGUGAGUAUUUUUGUUGUCUUUACAAGUUGUAAUGGACAGUUGACAAUGGCUAUCAUCGUUGAAACACCACCGACCACCAACACUUUCUUUUAGAAAGUGGGUACCUCUUCGUUGACUACUUAAUUUGUUUAUAUUUUGAGAGUUUCAAAAUAAUAAAUGAUUUCAUGACUCGGUUUAGACUCAUGUUUUUUUUCCAUUGUUUAAUAAGUUUUUACUUUUAAAAGUUUUUUUCUACUCUUAUAGUAAGCUUUUUAGUCUUACUUUUGCGAGUAAUUUUAGGGUUGGUUUUGUCGCCAUCCCCUCUAGUUUGGUGGAUGCUCAGUUCUUUUGCUGAUUUAUGCCCGCCGCUUUGGACCAUCCGGGGUUGAUUUUCUUACUAUAUUAAGUGCUUGUAAUCACUUCUGAUAUGUUGUGCUUGAGUUGUGAUAGAGCUGAUUUCAACAUGCCAUAAUGUUCUAUUAAUGUUGAAGCUAAAGCUUUUGUUAUAUUGAUGGAGCUUGUCCUUUAGCGAGUACAACAAGUGUUUGUUAUUUCCUCCCCCCGAAUUGUAUGGUAUUAUUCAUUGAAUAAAAUAAUGAAGUUGUCUUAAAAAAAACUAAUCCAUAACAUUAACAUUAAUAAGAGAACAAAAUAUAUCAAAUUAAAAAAGAAAAACUGAAUCUUUAAUUCAAUUGAGAAAUUAUAGGGAUUAAAACUAUAAAUUGAUCUAUAAUAAUUUCUCAGGCAUUAAUUGUAAGAUUAAUUCCAUAACCUAAAUUAUUGUAGGGGCUAUAUAAGCUCAAGGUUGACGCAAAAGUCAAUAGUCAGCGUCUGAAAGUUAAUGCAAUUAAUUAUGUCAUUGUUGAUAUAUUUAACGCAAAUAUAUUAUCAUAUGUGUAAUGUCAUACCAUCUUAUUAUUUCCAUAUGUUACUAAAAAUCUAGUUAACGGACUAAGGAUUGUCAUUUGUAUCAAGACUGAAAUUUUAAAUUUUGAAAAAUAUAGGUACUUAGAAUAAUCCAAUUAGAGAGUAUGGACUAAAUCAACAAUUAUACGCAUAAUAUAGGACUAGUAAUUGGUUUUAAUUAAAUUGAUUUAACUCUAUUGUUUGGAUCACAACUAAAAUUUUAAAAUUCAAAAUGUAUAGGGAUUAAAAUUGAUCAAAUUGAAGUAAAUAGACUAAAUUUACAACUUUCACAAAGAACAGUGACCAACAGCAGAAUUUAACCAAAUAAGCUCACCAAAGUCAAUAGUCAAUCUUUGAAAAGUAAUGCAAUUAAUUAUGUCAUUGUAGGAACGCUUUCCUGACAUAAAAUUCCACCAACUAAGCCUUUUGCGUAAAUAUUAGCUAUGAAAAUUCAACCAUUGAUAUUAAAUUCAAGACCCCACAAAUGACAGACAUAUAUGUUGGAAAAAUCUUUGUGUGAACAUUUCUUUCGGUCAUACUCAUGUCGUAUAAGUUAGAGGAGCACAAGUCUAGAUUCAUCCAAUUUUUGAGGAAUUAAUUAAUUAUAUAUUAGUUUAAAAUUAUAGUGAAUUAGUGAGACGCCAUAGGUCUUGCUUGCAUAUAAAUAAGAAGCUUAGGCUUCUUCAGAUUAUUUACAUAUAAAAGUUUAAAAAGUAACAUAUAGCUAAGAGAGAAGAGGAAAACAGAAAGAUGAUGAUGAUAAUGAUGGAGUGGAAAUGGUUAUGGUUUAUAAGGAUGGCAGUAAUGUUGUUGGUGUUAGAAGGGUGCAGGUGGUGUACUACUGAUGCUUGUUUGGAGCAUGAGUCGCCUUCUUGCAUCUCAAACCUUUCUUCAAUUAUGAUAAUCAAUUGAAAAGUUGGAUUGAGGUGAAGGGUUCAGAUUGUUGUAAAUGGAAAAGAGUUGAGUGCAACACCAUCACUAGGAGAGUCAUACAACUCUCCCUUAAUCAUACAUCAUCCAAUAUAUAAAUGAAUUAAUGAAUUUACCUUUCAAAAGAGAAAAAAAGAAUUCAUAAAUUUUGAAAUACAAAAUGAACGUGUUUUGAUAUUUUUAGGGCAAUGGUUUAGUGGUUCAAAAUUUUGAUUUAAUAUGGUGAAUUUAAUUAUAAUUUUUUAUAUAUUAGAUAGUAGAAUAUAUUUUACCAUUUAUAAUUAAGUACAAUUAAGUUUAGGUUAAAAUAUUUUAUUAAAUUUUUGUACUUUUCACAGAUUUUAAAUUUAAUCUGUUUACUUUUAUUCUAGAAUUUAAUCUCUCUGCAUGUAAAGGAGGUUAUUAUGGCAAGGGGAAUUACCAUGGCAGAGGUAGCCGAGGCUGAGGAAGAGAUGCUGGAUAUGCUGAAGAAAGAUAGAUGGCUGAGAAACAGAAAAACUUUAGGAACAAUAUUCAGUGUUAGAAGUAUGGGGAUGUGAAGGCAGAUUGUUGGAAAAGGGGAAACAAGCAAAUUUUGCCGAAGAUGAUGAAGAGAUUUAAAUUAUUUAUGAGCUGUCUAGAUGACACUAUAGCUUCAACUAACAUUUGGUUUCAAGGGCGUAUAUCUCAUGAUGAAGAGAUCGUCUCUCUUCUUUUUUCUCAUAACAUAUUACACGCCAUGAUAAUAAAUAUUGAUAUGCCUAUAAAUUUGAGUUUCUAUUAUUUGUAGUCAUGAUUUGGUUCACUCCAUAAGUUACAUAAAUUUAUUAUAAUAAUUCAAUUAAUUUUAGAUUAAUUUUACAUUUUUGCCCGAACUUUAGUUUUUAAUAAUUCAAUCAUCCCACCAUUAUAUUCAAUUAAAAGUGUAAUACGAUUUUGCGUCAUCCAACCAUUAUUCUUAGUGUAAUUUUUGGUAGUGAGCAUAGAAGGACAGCGAGAACAAAGAAAGAAUGUAUCCAAUAACCCACUCCCCUUAUAGUCAAUGCUUAAAAUGAAUAAGAAAAUAGAAAACAAACGUGGCAAUGCCAGCUAAUUUGUUAUUACUAUUCACCGUAUAACUAAGGACAUUACGCACCGUUUUAAUUAAAACAAACUCACCGUUUAAGACCGUUACUUCUAUGCAUCGUUUUAAUCAUAUGCGUCAGUUCGAACAAAUAGGUGAACAUGAAAGCUUUAGUAGAUGUGUGCUUAAAACUCAAACUUUGUGUUCUGUAAAAAUAUUGAUUUUGUUGUAAUUGUAGGUUGAACUUUGUGAGUCCAAUUACUUUCUUUGGCAUCGGAUAUUUCGUGGAACUUUCGUAUGAGAUAUUUACUUUAUAAAUAGAAGAUUACAAAAUUUGGAUAUUAAUAUAUUUUUCAUGAUUUAAUUUUCUUUUCCUUUUUUGGGCUAAAAUAAUUAAUAACGAAAACACGUCUUUUGCUAGCACCUAUAAAUGCCUUAAAAAUGUAAAUUAAUAUUCCACAAUAAUUAUUAAGAUGAAAAGAAUUUUAUAAUCUAAACUUACGAUUUCAUGUGAAUUUAAUGUUUAGUUAUAGUUUUAAUUACAAAGUUAAAUUGGUAUCUUUGUUAUUGCAAUAAUUAAAAAAAGAUGAGUCCAAAUGAAGUUGAUUUUCUGUUUUUUAAAAGUGAAUGCAAGAUGGGACGGCUGGAAUUUUUUUUAUUAAACAGUAAGUAUGAAGCAGUUAUGGUAAUUGCUUGCUCCAUCUCACUCCACUCCACUAUAUAAAAUUACCAUUUCAUUCUUUUAUAUAUAGAAAAAAAUUAAAUAUUUUAUGAAAAUAAUCAUGUUUAAAUUUCCAAGAAUAAAAGCAAACUGAAGACUUAAAAUUUCCAUUAAUAAAACCAAAAUCAAAGAAGUAAAUUUUCCAUGAAUAAAACAAAAAAUGAAGAUCUAAAUUUUCCAUUAAUAAAGCCAAGUCAAGACUAAGUUUGUAUAAGUGUAAGAAGGGUAUAAAUGAAACUCACAAGAAAGCCACAUGAAGAAUUUUAUAACCCCAAACUACACGAUUUUAUGUCCACCUCUCACUUUUCAUAUUUUUUUGGCCAUUCGUUUUUCAAGAUUAACAUCAGCAUUCUUGUGGUCCGUUCAUCCUUUUCUAAUGAAUUUCCACCAAGAGUUUUAUUUUUCAAAAUGUUAAAUUAACUUAUGAUAUUAAUUAAAUCAAGAAAUUUUAUAAUAAUAGAGAUGAAAAAACUAAAUUUUCAAAAUCAAAACCUAAAAUGUGCAAGAAUAAAAGCAAACUGAAGACUUAAAAUCUCCAUUAAAAAAAUCAAAAUCAAAGAAGUAAAAUUUCCAUGAAUAAAACGAAAAAUGAAGACCUAAAAUUUCCAUUAAUAAAUCCAAGUCAAGACUAAGUUUGUAUAAGCGUAAGAAGGGUAUAAAUGAAACUCACAAGAAAGCCACAUUAAGAAUUUUAUAACCCCAACUACACGAUUUUAUGUCCACCUCUCACUUUUCAGUUUUUUUGGUCAUUAGUUAUUCUAAGAUUUAACAUCAACAUUUGAUUUCAAAUCAACGUUAAACCAUGUUUAAACUCUUUUUCUUAUAUAAUAAUUAUAUUAUAUUUAAAAUUGAAAAAACUAACCAGCCAAAUAUAUAUUAAUUAAUUAAUAGAAUUUUUUUUGCUCAUCGAUUAAAAUAAAUCAAGAAAGACGUUGGAACCACCAACCUCUCUUUAAGAACAACAGGAAUACAAGAACCUAUGCACAACAAGUACUAAAAUGUAUUAAGUAAAUUCAUCACCAGGCCUUAAAAAAAGAAGAUCUCGAUAUACCUGCUUUUGCCAAAGCAUCUGCCAUACCAUUACUUUGCCAGUGAAUAAUUCUGAACUGAAACUUAGCCAAUUGAGUGAUAUUAAUUAUAGAAAUGGUUCUUCUUGCAACCAUAGAUGAAACACCACUGAGACUAACAAACUUGGAGAAACUUGAUUAAAUCAAACUUAUGCAAAUUUCUUGAAUAUUUAAGUUAAGAGUUAACGUCAAAGUCAAGAGUUGAUAAGGAUUUUGUGGUCCAUUCAUAUCUUUAUUACAAUAUAUAUAUAUAUUCAAGAAAUUUGCAGCAAGUUGGAGUUUUGCAAUAAGGAAUUUCCACCAAGAGUUUUGGAAUAAGGAAUUUCCUCCAAGAAUUUUGCAGGAAUCAUAUCUCUAACAAAAGAAAGACCUUCAUUUGACUAAAUUUUUUAGUAUUUAUUUUAACUUCCAUUUUAUUAAAAAAAAAACAGAGGUAAAAAAUAUGCCGAACAGGGUCUUUAGGUUACUUUUCUUAGAACUAUAUUAUGUUAUAGUACCGUAUAAGUUAGAGGAGCACAAGUUUAGAUUCAUCCAAUUUUUGAGGAAUUAAUUAAAUAUAUAUUAUUUUAAUAUUAUAGUAUACAGAGGCAAUGUUAGAAAAAAUUUUUGUGGAGUCGAAAUUAAAUUAUAGUUUUAAAAGCAUAUAUCUUUAUAAUUUUUAAAGAAUUAAAUCAAAUUUUUAUCAAUUUUAGGGGGUCAAUGUGCAAUUUUAUCUUUACUAAUUUAAAAUUUUAAAACAUUUAAAGGACCUAAAUAGGAAUUUUUCUAUUUUAGAGGCGUCUGAGACGCCUGUCUAGCUAUGCCCCUGAUAGUGAAUUAGUGGGAUGCCAUAGGUCCUGCUUGUAUAUAAAUAAGAAGGUUAGGCUUCUUCAGAUUAUAUACAUAUAGAAGUUAAAAAUUAACAGACAACUGAGAGAGAAGAGAAAACAGAAAGAUGAUGAUGAUGAUGAUGAUGGAGUGGAAAUGGUUAUGGUUUAUUAGGAUGGCAGUAAUGUUGUUGGUGUUCGAAGGAUGCAGGUGGUGUACUAUUGAUGCUUGUUUGGAGCACGAGAGGAUUGCUCUCUUGCAUCUCAAACCUUUCUUCAAUUCUCGUGAUGAAUUGAAAAGUUGGGUUGAGGUGAAGGGUUCAGAUUGCUGUAAAUGGGAAAGAGUUGAGUGCAACACCACCACUAGGAGACUCAUACAACUCUCCCUUAAUUCUUCAAAAUGGGAAGACAGUAUGGGAUACAACACGAAUAAUAGGAAUCUCAAUGCCUGGUAUCUCAAUACCUCUAUGUUUCUUCCCUUUGAGGAAUUGAAGAGUCUUUAUUUGUCGGGGAAUGCCAUAAGUGGUAACCUUGAAAAUGAAGUGUUGUUCCAAUAGGGUCGGAAGCGUGUAAAUUAUUGUACUAAAAAAUCACACAAAGUUCAAUUCCCAGGGAAGAGAGGUGGAUCACAAGGAUCUCUUAAAUACCAAGUCUUUCCUUAGACAGAAUAUCCCUUCUAUAGUAAUUUAAUAGCACAAUUAAAUACUACUAUUAUACCCUCAAAUAUUGAAAGAAAAAUAGGACAAGAAAGAACACAAGAGUUUUAACGAGGUUCGGUAAAUUAUACCUACGUCCUCGGGCACUAACACCAGAUGAUAACUUUACUAUCUUCAAAGUAUUACAAACAAAUAGAAUUCCUUAAGAAUUCUCAAAUGGGAGAAGAGAGAAAACUAAGAGAGAAAGAUUGGUUGGGAUGAAUUGAAAUGAGAAAUGAGAAGGCCUAUUUAUAGUUGAGGUUUAAGGACCAAACAAUAAAUAGCCCAUUAUCUCAAGGACCAAAAAAAAUUAUCCCAUGCCACUUUUUCAAAGUCAAAUUUAGGGUGCUAAACUUGCACCACUUUGUAUUGUUUGCCAUUAAUGUUGUCUCCCAUUAAUGUUAACAAUCUCCACCUUGAAGAUUUGAUUAGGAUAAUCACAUCUUCACACACUUCCUUCAACUCCCCAAAUUCGAUAAAGCUAUCUUUUGUAGUGCCUACAAAUGCACUCUCGGGCGCCAUACACCUGAAGGUGCUCAAAUUCUCAGGAUGUUAAUCAAGUUCAAACAAUGAUUAAACUUGAUUGUUGUUACCACCUUGGUCAUCAUAUCUGCGGGAUUAUCUGCUGUCGGAAUCUUCUGAAGUAGAAUUUUUCCUUUUUCAAAGACUUCCCGCACAAAGUGAUAUCUUACGUCGAUAUGCUUGGUUCUUGAAUGAUAGACUUGAUUUUUCGCUAAAUGAAUAGCGCUCUGACUGUCACAAUAUAAACUUAUGUGACUUUGAACAACUCCUAAGUCUUUCAACAAUCCAUUAAGCCAAAUAGCCUCCUUAACAGCUUCUGUAACUGCCAUAUAUUCUGCCUCUGUAGUAGACACAGCUACUGUAGACUGUAAGGUAGACUUCCAACUUAUUGGGGCUUUCGCAAGAGUAAACAGAUACCCCGUAGUUGAACGACGUUUAUCUAAAUCACCAGCAAAGUCGGAAUCAACAUAUCCAACUACAAACUGACCAAGUGCUUCAUCCUGUUCAAAAAUUAAACCAACAUCUACGGUUUUUCGAAGAUACCGUAGAAUCCAUUUCACAGCUUGCCAAUGUCCUUUUCCAGGAUCAUGCAUAUACCUGCUCACAACUCCAACAGCUUGUGAAAUGUCAGGCCUCGUACACACCAUCGCAUACAUCAAACUCCCAACUGCAUUAGCAUAUGGGACUUUCGCCAUAUAUUCUCUUUCAUCUUCAGUCUUCGGAGAUAAUUGAGCACUAAGUUUCAAAUGAGAAGCAAGUGGGGUACUUACAUGUUUUGUGUUUUCAUUUACACCAAAACAUUGUAAUACCUUUUUCAGAUAUUGCUUCUGAUUUAAACAGAGCUUGCCUCUCGGUCUAUCUCUACUUAUCUCCAUGCCGAGAAUCUUCUUGGCCUCACCUAGAUCUUUCAUCUCGAACUCUUGAUUCAACUGAGCCUUCAGCUUAUCUAUCUCAUUUUGGCUCUUCGAAGCGAUUAACAUAUCAUCAACAUACAAGAGUAGAUAAAUGAAAGAUCCGUCAUGCAGCUUCUGCAAAUAUACACAAUUGUCAUAUUUGCUUCUUGUGUACUUCUGCCUUCUCAUAAAGCUAUCAAAUCGCUUGUACCACUGCCUCGGGGAUUGCUUCAAUCCAUAUAGCGAUUUGUUAAGCUUACAAACCCAAUUUCUACCACCAGCAUCUGUGUAUCCUUCUGGCUGAGUCAUAUAGAUCUCCUCUUCUAACUCACCAUGCAAGAAAGCCGUCUUAACAUCAAGUUGAGCUAGCUCCAAAUUCAACUGUGCUACCAAGGCCAACAAAAUUCUAAUGGAGGAAUGCUUCACAACAGGGGAAAAUACAUCAUUGUAGUCAAUUCCCUCCUUCUGAGCGUAGCCUUUAGCUACCAAUCUUGCCUUGUAGCGAAUAUCCUUCUUGCUAGGAGAUCCAUCUUUCUUUGCGAAUACCCACUUGCAUCCGAUUGCCCUUUUACCUUUCGGUAAUUGCGCCAACUCCCAAGUAUUAUUCUUCCGGAGAGACUGCAUUUCUUCAUCCAUGGCGCUUUUCCAUUUAUCACUUUCUAAGCUUUGCAUUGCUUCUUGAUAAGUGAUAGGAAUAUCAUCAACAACGGGAAGGGCGUAGGCCACUAUAUCAGUAAAUCGAGCAGGUUUACGAAUUUCUCUCCGUGGCCUUGCAACUGCAACUGGUUCUGGUGUACUUAGUGGUUCUUGGGUCAGAACCUCUUCAACCUCUAAUUCCUCCAUUGUGGCUGGAGAAUUAGACUUAUUAACUGGGCAAAUCCCCAUCUGCUCAAACUCCACCUGUUUUGGAGUACACUCCACCUGCUGUGGAGUAUUGCUCGUCUGAAUAUCUUUAUCUGCUACCUUUUUCAAUGUGGUAGAUUCAUCAAAGGUAACAUCUCUGCUACAGAUCAUUUUCUUUGUGCUUAAGCACCAAAGACGAAAUCCCUUCACUCCAGAAGUGAUUCCCAUAAAGAGAGCUUUCUUUGCCCUCGGAUCUAACUUUGACUCCUUCACAUGGUAAUAUGCAGUGGUUCCAAACACAUGUAAGGAAUCAUAAUCUGUAGCCGGUUUUCCAGACCAUACCUCCAUAGGAGUUUUUCUUUCUAAUGCAGAUGAUGGCAAACGAUUAACAAGAUGGCCAGCGUAUGUCACAGCCUCAGCCCAAAAUUGCUUGCCCAACCCAGCAUUGGACAACAUACAUCGAACUUUCUCCAGCAAUGUUCGAUUCAUACGCUCUGCCAAUCCAUUCUGCUGUGGUGUAUCCCUAACUGUGAAGUGUCGAACAAUACCAUACUCUUGGCACACAUCGAAGAACGGAUCACUUUUAUAUUCCCCUCCAUUGUCCGUCCUAAGCCGCUUGAUUUUCUUGCCAGUCUGGUUUUCGAUCAUAGUUUUCCAUUUAAGAAAAACUCCAAGCACUUCAUCUUUAGUUUUCAUGGUAUACACCCAAACUCUUCUGGAAAAGUCAUCAACAAAAGUAACAAAGUAGUGUUUUCCUCCCAAUGAAGGUGUUUUGGAAGGCCCCCACACAUCUGAGUGAAUAUAUUCCAAAAUACCUUUUGUAUUAUGGAUAGCAGUGCCGAAUUUCACUCUCUUUUGCUUUCCCAGAACACAGUGCUCACAAAAUUUUAAUUUGCAAGCCUUUACACCUUUCAACAAUCCUUGCUUUGCCAGAAUUUGCAAGGAUUUUUCGCUGGCAUGUCCCAACUUCAUAUGCCACAACUGCAUUGAGUCCAAGUCUUUGUUACCGGAAGCUGCAGCGACUGCUCCAAUAACUGUACUACCUUGGUAGUAAUACAAGUUAUUUUUCCUGAUGCCCUUCAAUAUCACAAGUGCGCCAGAUGUCACUUUCAAAACCCCAUCUCUCAUAGUAACAACUGAACCAUUGGAUUCCAAGGCUCCCAAUGAGAUGAGAUUUUUCUUCAAACUGGGCACGUACCGAACAUCAGUCAGAACUCUGGUUGAUCCAUCUUUAUUCUUUAAUUGGAUUGAACCUAUCCCAACAGUUUUACAGGCAUUGUCAUUGCCCAUAUAAACAACUCCUCCAUUUAGUUCUACUAAAUCAGAGAACCACUCCCGGUUAGGGGACAUAUGAUAGGUACAACCCGAAUCCAAUAUCCACUCAUCUGAAUGGAACGACGAUGAUGAUGCAACCAGUGAUAGUUCAGAGUCACUAGUAUCAUGCUUAGCAACACAAGCAUCUACAGCAGCUUUUCCCUUAUUCUUCAGCUUUGGACAAUUUUUCUUCCAGUGGCCUUUCUCAUGACAAAAAGCACAUUCAUCUUUCCCGAGUCUGGACUUUGACUUUGAUCUCCCCUUUUGAGUUUUCUUCCGAGUGUAUGAACGACCUCGGACUAGUAAAGCUUCUGUAUCUCUGAUUGAGUUUUUCUGUUUGUCCUUCUUUCUCUGUUCAUAACUGUAUAAGGCCGCACAGACUUCGCUCAGAGAUAUAUCACUCCUGCCAUGAAGUAGAGUAGUUUCUAGGAACUCAAACUCCUCAGGAAGUGACCCCAACAGCAUCAAAGCCAAAUCUUCAUCUUUGAAUGUCUCAUCCAUAUUCAGCAAAUCAGUGACUAACUGAUUAAAUUUGGUGAUGUGAUCAUUCAUUGUGGUACUUGGGACGUAUGUGAAGCGAAACAGUCUUUUCUUCAAGUGGAGCUUAUUUUGACUGUUUUUCUUCAAAAAUUUUUCUUCAAGUGCCACCCACAACUUAUUUGCAGAAGUCUCCUUUGAAAAAGCAUACCUCUGCUCUCGAGAAAGGCAUGAUCGAAUUGUGCCACAUGCCAACCGAUUGAUCGCCUUCCAAUCUUUCUCCUGUACAUCAUCUGGUUUCUCUUCAUCAAUGGCAAUGUCUAGACCCUGCUGAAAAAGGGCAUCUAGAACCUCACUUUGCCACAUACCAAAAUGGCCCGUGCCAUCAAAGAUCUCCACGGCCAAUCUUGCAUUUGCAAUUGUCGGUCUUGUCCACAUGGACGAUGUUGAAGCUCCUACACCGACCGUUUUCUCCAUAAUCUUUCAAUAUACCUAAGGAAAUCUUUUCUGAUGUGGAAGAUCAGUUCAAACUGCAACCACAGAGCAUACUACGAUUAACCUUCGGCUCUGAUACCACUUGUUGUUCCAAUAGGGUCGGAAGCGUGUAAAUUAUUGUACUAAAAAAUCACACAAAGUUCAAUUCCCAGGGAAGAGAGGUGGAUCACAAGGAUCUCUUAAAUACCAAGUCUUUCCUUAGACAGAAUAUCCCUUCUAUAGUAAUUUAAUAGCACAAUUAAAUACUACUAUUAUACCCUCAAAUAUUGAAAGAAAAAUAGGACAAGAAAGAACACAAGAGUUUUAACGAGGUUCGGUAAAUUAUACCUACGUCCUCGGGCACUAACACCAGAUGAUAACUUUACUAUCUUCAAAGUAUUACAAACAAAUAGAAUUCCUUAAGAAUUCUCAAAUGGGAGAAGAGAGAAAACUAAGAGAGAAAGAUUGGUUGGGAUGAAUUGAAAUGAGAAAUGAGAAGGCCUAUUUAUAGUUGAGGUUUAAGGACCAAACAAUAAAUAGCCCAUUAUCUCAAGGACCAAAAAAAAUUAUCCCAUGCCACUUUUUCAAAGUCAAAUUUAGGGUGCUAAACUUGCACCACUUUGUAUUGUUUGCCAUUAAUGUUGUCUCCCAUUAAUGUUAACAUGAAGGUCGUGCCUCUAGUUUUUCUUUAAUUACAUCUUUUGUUAUUACACUACUCUCACCAUCGUUAAUUUGCAAUUACUUAUAUUUUAUUUUAUUUUAUGGAAGAAAAGUCACUAACUUGUAUAUAUUUAAAAGAAUAUUUCUAUAGGCUUUGGAAAACUAUCAUCCACAUUGAGUAAUUUGGAGAUCCUUGACUUAAGUUUCAAUUACUUGAAUGAUAGCAUUUUGUUAUCUUUGAGUGAGCUUUCAUCUCUCCGGUAUUUAGAUCUAUCACGCAACAAAUUUGAAGGAUCAGGUCAUCAAAGAGGUAAAUUAAGUUUGGUCUGGUGUUAGUUUUUAUUUGUAUAGUAGAGUUUGAGGAUGGUCUUCUAGUCUUGGUACCUAGUUUUCCAUUCUUUUUAUCCAUUGUAAUUCCACUUUUACUUUAGUAAAAUUUUCAUAUGGCUAAGAAAGAACAAUUAACAUGUAAUUAUAUAUAUAUAUAUAUAUCAGGUUUUCAAUUGCUUUCAAGACUCAAUAACUUGGAAACUCUUGAUUUAAGUGGGAAUUCUUUGAAGAAUAACAUUUUGUUCCAUAUGAGAAAUCUUUCAUCAUUGAAGACUUUAAGAUUGGGAGGUAAUGAGUUGAAAGGAAGGCUGGAUCAUAUUCAAGGUAGACUGAUUUUACCUGUUUCUUUUUAACUUACAAAAUCAAUGUAUGUUCAAGUUUGAUUUUAUCAUACGAAGAAUAUAUAUAACUAAUCAAUAUUUGGGAUUGAAUUUCAGGAUUGAAUAAUUUGACAAACUUGAAGUACUUGGAUUUAAGUUCGAACAGAAUUGAAAGCAUCUCAAACAAAGGUAUAAGUAUUUGUGCAUAACUUUCAUGACCGACUCUUAUUUCAAAAGGCAAUGACACACUUCAAAUGUAUUUUCUUUAGUGAAUUUUUAUUGUAAAAAUGGAGUACUAUUAUUUAUUUGUUUUGUAGUAACUAAUUAUAUAAUAUAUAAAUGAGGUUUUCAAUGGCUCAUUAAAUUGGAAAUUAUUGAUAUAAGUUGGAAUUAUUUGAAGAAUAGCAUUCUUUAAAAUAAAUUCAUGUUGAAGGAAAAGUUGUUGCAAUAAGUCAUUUGAUUUUAUCAUAUCAUGAAUAUAUAUAAGUAACUAAUUCUAUAGUAUAUAAAUCAGGUUUUCAGUGGCUUUCAAGGCUCACUAAAUUGGAAACUCUUCGUCUAAGUGGGAAUUCUUUGAAGAAUAGCAUUUUGUUACAUAUGAGAAAUCUUUCAUCUUUGAAGACUUUAAGUUUGAGUUACAAUCAGUUGGGAGGAAAACUGCUUCAUAUUCAAGGUAGACUGAUUUUACACUUUUCUUGUUAACUUUAAAAUAAAUUUAUAUUCAAGGAAAAGUGGUUGCAGUAUGUGAUUUGAUUUUAUCAUAUCAUGAAUAUAACUGAUCAGUAUUUGAGAUUGAAUUUCAGAAUUGAAUCAUUUGGCAAACUUGAAGUACUUGGAUUUAAGUGGCAACAAAAUUGAAAGCAUCUCAAACAAAGGUAUAAGUAUUAAUUUGUGCAUGACUUUCCUAACAGACUUCAAACAAAGGAAAAAUUGUUGCAAUAAGUCAUUUGAUUUUAUCAUAUCAUGAAUAUAUAUAAGUAAUCAAUAUUUGGGAUUGAAUUUCAAAAUUGAGUAAUUUAAGUAGGAAGGUAUCUCAAUAUAUAUAAGUAAUUUCAUAUAUUUUUAAUAGUAUAAAACAUAAAAAUACAUAUUAGAGUUAAAUAAAUGGCAUUUUUUGGCCAAAAAUAAAUAAAUGUCAAUUUUGAAUAAUAUAAAAAAAACUUCAAUUUUAUGAAAUUUAAACAUACAUUUUGAGGUGCUUAAACUUUUUUUUUAAACUUUUUAUAAAUUUCAAAAUGCACAUGUUGUUAAUUUUUUGGUUUAAAAAAAUGUGAUAGGUCUAUGUACUCUUUACAAAUUUGUAAUUUAAUUCUUGUAUUUUUACAUAUAAUUUAAUUUUAUGUCAAUUCAUUUCAGUGAUGAAAUUAUAUAAAUCUUUUGUAGAUGGUGGUAGAAAAUUGGAGUUGACCCACUUGGAAGAGCUUAAUUUAGAUGGAAAUCUCUUCAAUACUAGUGUAUUUGCAUCCCUUAACAAGCUUUCAAAUUUGAAAUCUUUGAGCAUAAGUGGGAACCAAUUGAAAGGAUCAAUAGAUAUGAAAGGUAAAAAUAUUAGUCUUUUUAACAAGAAUAUAAUCAUGUUUGAAGAGAAUAUAAUGAAAUUGAUUUGUUGUUUUUGUUUUCCUAGAUUUGGAAGCAUUUAUCAACUUAAGGGAACUAGAUAUGAGCUAUAAUGAAUUGAAAGAUUUGGUGAUCCACCAAGGUAUCAUUUAAUUAAACUUCCUUUUUUUUUUAAUUUAGAAAUUUAAUUUUGAUCUCAAAUAUUAUAAUAACGGUUAUUGUCAUAAAUAUUAAUAAAGUUAUAUCAUAUCAUACUUGAAAGUAAAAUAUGGGUUUGGUGAAACAUUUUCUAAAUCAUCCAUUAUAAUGUGUUUGGACUUUGGUUUGAAACUAAAAUUCUUUAAAAUUUUCAUCAUUUUAAAAUAUUAAUGUUUAUAAUUAUUUUGUUUGUAUAAAUAUAUUUUUUAAAAUAAUUUAUUGAAUUUUUAUGAGAUAAAAAUAAUUAUAACAAUAAAAAUGAUAUUAUAAAUAAAUAAAAACAUAUAUUUAUGAGAAAAUAUGUAAUAUAACUAUAUUUUAAUUUCAUAUAUUUUUAAUAGUAUAAAACAUAAAAAUACAUAUUAGCGUUAAAUAAAUGGCAUUUUUUGGCAAAAAUAAAUAAAUGUCAAUUUUGAAUAAUUUAAAAAAAAUCUUUAAUUUUGUGAAAUUUAAACAUACAUUGAGAGGUGCUUAAACUUCCAUUGCAAUUCAAAGUGCAUAUGUUUUUAACUUUUUGGUUUAAAAAAAUAUGAUAGGUCUUCGUACUCUUUACUAAUUUGUAAUUUAAUUCUUAUACUUUUAUUUUCAAGAAUUUAAUCCCUGUUUUUUUUAUAAAAAAAAAUCAAAAUCCUAGUUCAAUUGUUAAAAUUGUUAAAAUUUUAAAAUAGUUUGUUGGUGUGACAUUUUGAAAUAAAUAAAAACUUAGUAGUAAUGUAACUAAAAAAAUGACGUAAUGAACAUGGAUUUAAUAAAAUAAUUUUAACAAUAUUAAUAAAAUAAUUUUGAAUUUUGAAUUUUAACUUAACUCUAUUUUUGGGCCAAGAUUUAAUGCUUUAAAAUUUUCAUUUAAUCCGCUGAGUUUACUUAUAAUUCUUUUGAGUUUUAUUUAUUGUUGAGUAAAAUACCUAUUUGAUUUUUUUAUAUACUAUUGGCAUCUUUAAAGGUAAUAUAAUAAUUUUAGUGUAGACGUGUUUUAUUUUAUAAAUAUUAUUUAUAGUGUAGACAUGUGAAUUUUGAAUAAUUUAAAAAUAUCUUCAAUUUUAUGAAAUUUAAACAUACAUUUAGUGUAGACAUGUUUUAUUUUAUAAAUAUUAUUUAUAGUGUUGUUGAUUGGAGUUUGAAAAUUAUACAACUUAGCUAUAUCAGUUAAUUACUUAUAUUAAAAAAUAAUAUAAGAAAAUACUAAAAAGAAAAAAAAUAGUAUAAUUAAUAAAAUGGAUGAAGAGUUAUAUUAAAGUUUCAACAUCUUCUCUCUAUUAAAAUUUAUCUCAGAUAAAUCAUGAAUAAUCUAACUCAUAAAAAAUAUAUAUAUUUAUAUACUUCAUUUCAUUCACAGAAAAUAAAGCAUUCUACUUAGUAGAGGCUUUCUAUAAUACCGUUAUCUAAUAACUCUUGACAUUGCUUAGAUUCAAAUGUGUCGAGCAGUUUGGAGGAAAUAUAUCUUGACUAUUCUACUCUCAACACCAACAUUUUGCAAAGCAUUGGAGUAUUCGCUUCUCUUAAAACAUUGUCUUUAUAUCAUUGUGGACUUAUUGGUCCCUUACCUAAUCAAGGUAAAUAAUUUUAUGGCUCAAUUUGAUUUCUUUAUGAACUUUCUGUAAUAUAUUAUCUCCUAUUCUGUUUUAUAAAGCAAAAUUUAAUUGAAACUUCUUCCAUGAAUUUAUUUAUAAAAUUUUCAGGAUGGUGUGAUCUAAGGAACCUUGAAGUGUUGGAUGUGAGUGGGAAUGCACUUGAGGGGAUGCUUCCUCAUUGUUUUAGUAACUUGACAUCUCUUCGUGAGUUAUAUAUUUCAAGAAACCAUUUUCAAAUUCCGCUGUCAUUUGCACCAUUUGCAAACCUUUCAAACCUCAAAGUCCUUUUGAGUAAUCAAAACAAGUUGGUAAUGGAACCUUCCUUUUAUACCUCAGUCCCAAAGUUUCAAUUGACCAUCAUCAGUUUGUCAAAGUGCAUUACAUCUCAACAACUCAAUCUUGAACUUCCGACCUUCCUUUACUACCAAUAUGACUUGAGAUAUGUGGAUGUUUCUCAAAACAAUUUCAGCG